CAUAUUUUGGCUCUCUUUGAACACACCAUAUACUCUAUAAACACUACUAGAAACUUGAGUUUCAGCUACGGAUUUUGCUACGGAUUUGUUUUCUAGCAAAAUUUAGACUUAUAGCUAGGGAAUUACGACAGAUCUACCAUGUUUUUGAUAGUUAUUUUAUUUAUUUAACAUGUGGAAUAUUAGUGAGGAUUUACCGAGGGAUCAGCUACUGAUCUCGCAAGUAUUUAUCGAUGCACCACUAUCCCUCGCUAAUCAGUCGAAAAAUGAAGGGCCUUAGCUAGGGUUCAACGACGGAUAAAAAAAUUGCGCCAGCUGGUACGCGUUUAGCGAGAGAACGUCGACGGAAACUAUAUUUUGGGUACGUGCGUUUUGUUUUUCUAUCGCCAAUCUCUAGCUGAAAUUGGCACAACCCAAUUCCAUCUUCACGAAAUGCAUUGAAAAUUCUGGUACGCGUUUCCUUCCCUCCAGCUUUAUCACUCUGGACUCUGGACAUGAUUUUUGAACAGAUGACGACAUAGAAGUUCCUUUCAAUCUGUUAACCCAAUUCCAUCUCACAAUCUCUGUUUGAACAGAUGACGACACUACUCACCCGAUUCCGGCAACCUCCACAUUUUUAAAGCUGAAAGUAUUCUUCGUUAACUUUCCGAUUCAGGUAAAUCUCAUCCCUCUUAGGUUAGUUUUAGUUCAAUUGCACAAUAUACUUUGUUAGGGUUUAAUUUCUCAUUUUUUCUUUUUCAAUCGAUGUCCCUCUUAUCUCUCCGCAUUAUAUACAUGAAUCACCUUGAAAGUUAGAAUUAGAACUUGAUUUAGGGCUUGAUUCAUCAUAGUUUGUCAUCCAAUUUAUGAGAAUUUAAGGAUUCAGGAACACCAGUAGCCAAAACCUUUAGGUUUUCCCCAAUUCUCUUUCAUAUUUAGGAGGUGGUCUCUUUGAUAAGUCCUAUUCCCUUUUGAGGUCUUGAAUGUGGUCUCUCUGAUAAGUCCUAUUCCCUUAUGAGGUCUUGAAUCAUGAUGCUGACCUCUACUGCCAGUUGCUGCUUCACUUGGAGCCAUGUUAAGGCCAGUGGUACUUGUCAUAGGAGCAGCAUCAGCAUAUACAGAUUUUGAAGCCAACACUCUCAUCUUCAUGCAUCUAUCUCUCAUCAAACCAUGUUUCAUCUUAUGCCCUUGCAUCCACACAAUUUCACAGAUCCUCUCAAGGGCACAGAAUCAUAAUCUUCUUCUUCUACUUCAUAGAAAAUUACCAAAAUACCCCCCGAAAGACUUGUUAUAGGAUGCUCACAGGUUCAUCAUCUGAUUCUGAUGUUUGCAAACACUCUUCUGGAUUGGCAUAAAAGUAAUCUUCUUCUUUGGGUUUAUCUGAAAUAACCAAUCUUUUUGUGGGAUUUCCCAUUCUUUCUUGAUGAACUUGUUUUACGGAAAUGGAAAAUUCAUCCCAAUUUAAAAUUCCAUUUGUGUAUUUGUCUAUUAAAUCCACCAAAAGUCUCUUAUCCAAUAGAAUUGUCUUCUUGAAUCCCAAAAAUCUGAAAAACCAUUUUCACAUAAUUAAUUAGCUUCAUUUCAAUUCCAAGAUAGUGUUUUGUUUGCAACAAAGGAAUGGAAUAUGAUAUGUUAUAAAUAAAUUCACAAUUAUGAAUUAAUUUUAUUUGUAUAUAUAUUCUUUAAUAAUACCACUUCCACUUGUGUUUUUAAAAAAUUUCAAAACUUUAAUUUAUUAAUUUUUACUUUACAAAAGUAGGUAGAAGUAUUUUUUUAAUAUUAUAAUUCUAUUUCAAGAUUUCAUGGUAUGUGAUCUUACAUUUUUUUGUUAACAAUUUUAUUAAAUCAUAGAUUUUUUUUUGUUCUUAGCUACUUGAAAUACAUAUAAUGAAUUAGUUUAGCUACCUGAUAGAGCUUUUUUAUAAGUAUGUAGGGUAUUAAAUAAUCUCAAGGUUGACUAGCAUUUACCCUUUUCUCAAGGUUGAUCCCACUUUUUCUAGUAACAUUUGAGACUUUUAUAAGCAAAAUAAGAGCAUUUCGAAUCUCCAUGUAAAAUAAAUGACCAAUUUACCUUUCAGCGUACCUUUCAGCACAAAAGAACACAUUCAGAGAUAGAUUACAAUGAUUGGAUUAUAUCUAUAGGUGCACAUCAACCAAGCCCAAAAAAACCUUCUUAGGUCAGGUCAAAGUCCUAGUGUUCAAAAUGAAGGACUGAGGUAGAUUCCAGACCAAUUAUUAUCUGUCCAAUUCAAGAUAACAAUAACAUAAGUAGAUAUAUUAUGUGUUCAGCAAGCAGGUGCUUGAUGAGAGAGAAGAUACAGGAUUCAAAUAGUAACAUAACAUAAGUGAUAAAUGACCAAUUUGGGAUUCUAUAAAAGUUAGCUUAAAAUGUUUUGUUUCUUUUUUGGACUGAAUGUAUUGUUUGAAUACAAUAAAUGACCAAUUUACCCUCUGUCAAUAAGUGAUGUCUUUCGACUACCUUUUCAUAUGAGGUUUUACCAACCAACCUAUUAAUAUUGUGUUAAUAUACAGGGAAAGUGUUUGAGUUUGACAAUUUGUCAAAUAUCUUAAUUACCCUUUGAAAAUGAGAAGACAGGGGAGUGUUUGGGAUAUAUAGCCCUGUCCUAAAACCAAUGCAAAUGUCAAUUAGAAUGGUGAUGAGAUAGGCUAUACAAAUGUUUUAUCAUUCACAAUGAAUAAGCUUUGCUCAUAGUACCUAUUAUACUUUUAAUACUUUAAGUAUUAUACUUUUGACCAAAGUCUUUUGUGCAGAUUUCAAUUCAAAUUAUUAUAAAUAUAAAAUGUUAUAUGAUACCAUUGUCAUUCAUGUUGCAACAUUAAUGACACUGUUUAUAUUUCUAUUUUUAAUUCUUUUAAUAACAUAUAAAGAACUUUUUAAUUUUGGGGAAAAAAAGGUUUCUUGGCUGGAGAAUCACAAGUGAGUUUUAGGAACAGUAGGAUCCUCCACCUCAUAACUUGUCAUUUUUAAAGUGCAAAAAGUAUUGCAAACCCAAAGAUAUGCCCCUAAACUUAUCUCUUAGCCACGGGUUGACUUUCUGGAACAAAGUCAACAGGCUCGCUUUCUGUAUCAUUGACCUGUGACUGUGAUGCAGCAGUGACUCUGGCUUUCUUGUAUCUACUUGAACUUUUCAAAAGCUCAGCCAUUGAUAUGUUCUUCAACCCGCUCCUAUCAUAUUAUACAAGUUCAAAUGACCAUUUUACCCUUAAACAAGAAAUGGGAAAAUGUAUAUCACCAAACUUACUGUGAGUUCAUGUUGUUUCCACCACCUUCAUUUCUUUUCACUUCUAAUACAAAUUCAAAAUACAUGAUUAUAAAAAGAAAUAAAAAUCAAUGCUUUUUUAUGUGGCAUAAACUAAAAUUAGUGAAGAAAAUAAAUAAACCCAAUUACCAUAUCUUCUGGAGUCAAUGUUGGAAUCACUUUCCCCUGAUGAUGAUGGAUUUCUUGAUGGAGUUCGUGUGCUGGAAUCUGAGUUUCAGCAGAACUAUCAUCACUGUUAUCCCCAAAUAUUGUUCCAGGUGUACCCAAAUAUUGUUCCAGGUGCACAUUUUUCUUCAUGGUUUUAAUCUUUUUUGGACUUUUCAAAGACCUGCCAAAUGAUUCUGAUUCUGAGCUUGAGUCCGAUUCACUAAAUGAUUCUUAAUCUUUGUUGUCAUUUUUUGGGUUUUUACUUUAGUAACAUUAGGGGCAUUUUGGUCUUUUGCUACACCUCCAUCUGUAGAAGCUUCUGGAAUCUUCUUUGAGGACAAGGCUUUGUUGUUUUCAUCUUUUUGUUGAAUAAAAAUAAAAUAUACCUUUUUGCCCUUGCUUUAGCCUUCCUCUGUUUUUGCCUCAGUUUCUUCUUUUGUGAAGCAGGCAUUUUUGCCAGCUCAACAUUUUCUUCAGUUGAUGAUGUCGGAGGAAAAUCAUACAACUUGAUAUAACAUCUGUAUAACAUUAACUAAAAAAAAUUAGGUACAAGAAAUUAAAAUAUAUAAAAAGUUAUUUUUCUUGAAAAGAUUGUAUAGUAUUACAUUAGAUAACAAAAGAUAUGCAAAUGAAACUUUAGGUUCCUAUAGUUUUAAUAUUCCGGAAUUAUAUUUUUAGUCCCUGUAGCUUUAAAUUUCAGGAAUUACACUUUUGGUCACUAUGAAAGUGGGAAAUAAGCAAAAGAUACUUUUGGUUCCUAUAGUUUUAGUUUUCCAGAAUUAUAUUUUUGGUCCCUAAAGUUUUUAGUUUGCAGGAAUUACAUUUCUAGUCCUUGCAGUUUAUUUUUACAAAAUUACAUUUUUAGUCCCUAUAGUUUUUAAUUUGCGAAAGUUAAUUUUCUGGUCCCUGAAGUUUUAAAUUUCUGGAAUUACAAUUUUGGUCACUAUGAAAGAGGGAAAUAAGCAAGACACUUUUGGUCCCUAUAGUUCUAGUUUUCCAGAAUUAUCUUUUUGGUCCCUGAAGCUUUUAGUUUGCAGGAAUUACAAUUCUUGUCCCUGUAGUUUUAAUUUUCCAAAAUUACAUUUUUAGUCGCUAUGGUUUUUGGAAUAUGAUUGCAUAGUUAUAAUAAAAAAUAAGUAUUUCAUAUAGUAUAAUUGUAGUUUCCAAGGAUGCUUUUAGUAAUGUGGAUAUGAUUGCAUUAUCUAAUUUCUAAAUAGUAGUUAUAUAUUUGGUUGUAGCUAGUCAUUAUGUCAACACGUAGUGAUAGAGACUGGAUGUACAAAAGGUUAGAUCAUGGGCAUCUUAGCACAACAUAUCAUGCAUCCGUCAAAGGAUUUCUAGAUGUUUCUGUUGUUUCAUAUUUUUUUACUAUAAUAGGAGGCUUAUGAAAGUGCUAUGGUGGCUAAGUUUGGUGAUGAUACUAGUUGCCACCCCCUCUUGGAUAAUGAAACAUGGUGUGAUGUUUCCGGAGGAGUCAAGAAAGGAAGAAUAUAUGGAUUUGGAUCUGUGCGAGCUUUUUGGAAGGAACAUCUAGUACAAUAACAUCCCAAGAGGUACUUUAUAAAAAUAUAUGGAUUUGGAUCUGUGUUUGUGUGUGUGUGUGUGGACGUAGCCGAUCAAUGAGAGACUUUUUGUGAGGUCGACUAUUUGAAAUUAACCUUGUAAAUUGUUUUAUACCAUCGAAGAAUAUAGUUUUUUGAGUUAAAACAUAUCAAUCCCUUUUAUUUUACUAGAUGUUUUUUAAGUUUUGGGUUUUGCACAAAUAACCCUCUUUACUCAAUAAUGUUCUAUUUUACAACUAAUUAUAUUUAUCCUUCAAUUUUUUAUUAAUUUCUGACUAAUUAUUUUGUUUCAAUUUAAUCGCGAGUUUAUGAAUGAAUGAAAUUAGUUGAAGGAGCGGCCAAGGAUGAAAGCUUUGAUUGCGUAGUUUGAUGAAUUGUAGUAUAUUGAUUUUAUUUGAUGUUAUUGUUAAAUAUAUUUUUUCCUAAAUAAUAUGCGUGCUUAAAUAUAAUAUAACAAACAAGGUAGAAAAAGUUAUAAAAAGUUUAAUAAAAAUUGUUGUAGAAUCAAUGUUCUAAAAUGUCCGUCAUGGUUUCAUCAAGCCACGUUAUGGCUCAAGUGAUACUGACGUCAAACCAUAGGAAUGUCAUCUUAAGUCAUAUGUAUAUAUUAGCAGAGAAGGCAUUUAUGGGGGAUUGCGGUCUGAGUGAGCAAUCAACCGAUGGAAGAGAUGUUACCUUCUGUGACCUGAUGGGUGCUAUUUGUGUUUCCUGUGGGAAGUAGGAGAGGCAUGAGAUUCCAGUUUUGGGUUUAGGAGUAAACCAUGCGGGUUGACAUUGAUGACGAUUUUUCCACCAGAGUAUCAGGCAGCAUGUUUGCCACGGGGAAAUGAUCUACCAUGAGCAGGUAGUCAGGGGGGACUGAGAUGGUGAAGGACCACAUUACACCCUAAUUGAGUAUAGUAAGGCGUGUGGUAGCAGUAUCAGCGGGUGAUCCAGUCGAGUAUAUCAAAGCGGUGGCUCUUCUGUCUAUGAUGAGUAUUGAUUAUGGUAGUGGAGUCCCUAUUCUUGUGAUGACUCAUGUGUUGGAACGGGGGUUGAGAAGUCAAGGAUGGGGAGUAUGAUGAUUUAUUGUUUCAGUCUAAGAGUCACUGAUAGUACUGGACAGUUGAGAUGUUCGGUAUUGGGAUGGUAUGAGACUUCGAAUGGCUAGAGGCAGUCAUAAUGAGGAGUUCCUGAGGAUUUCUUCGGAGAUUUAGGGUAAUUGAGGGUUCUUGAUCUUCGCGUGGGGAGAUCAUUGGGCGUUGUGUGGCAACUUCCAAGCGUAGGUGCAAUGUUUCUGGUGUAACUCGUCUGUAGGGUAGAUUGUUGAUGCGUCAAUUGGUGAUGGUCUGAACCCUAAGUGGGGGAGAAUCGGGUAUUUUAUUGAGGGAACCAGAGAUUCGUGCAAGAGCGGUUAGGGGUUGGAUACAGAAAACCUGCAACUCGAAUUCAUGAGACCAGGGUCAUUGGUGAUCAAGGGAAGGUGUAGAGCGAGGUAAUGCAUGUGUAUAUGUCUGAGAAAGGGAUGGGUGUCUCCACGGCAGGUGGCCAAUGGUCAGGAAUCUGGUGGUGGUCAGGGUCGUUUCAAGUGGAAGGCUCGUAAUGGUGGUAUGAGCAGUUGAGAACUUCUGGGUCGAAUUAUGCAUUGUAUAUGCCCUUUUUGGGGAGGAUAGAAGAUUAUCGAAUAGCCAACUCCCGGGCCGGUAUGUGUAUUCUUGCUUGGAUUUUGAGCAGUAGAGGAAAGGGUUUCGGAGGAUCAUCAGUGUGUUCUGAAGCGUUAACACUUUCCUUGUAUUCCAAUUGAGUGUUGGAUACACGGAAGUUGCGCAUUAGGUAAAAUGAAGAAUUAAUUAUGGGGUUCAGAGGAAAUGUUUUGUUGUAUAUGUAUGGUGUUGGGAGUAGGAGAUCAGUGGUAGAGGCAGGACAUUGUGAUGUUCUGUAAUGGUGUUCCGUGGUACCCGUGUAUAAUGUCCCGAUUUCGGGGUUAUUUAGAAUCUUGAGUUUGAUACGACUAGUGGUGUAUCAUGUAUCUACAGUUCCAGUGGGAGCCCUUCGGGUAUUGACAUCAAGAGGGAUUAUUUAAGAAAGUGAAUCUCCGCAGAGGUAGGUACUUUGUUAUAGCGGUUGCCGCCAGAUUCUGUGAUGCAUAUUUGGGACAAGUGUGUGUAGCUAUCUAUGAUAGUCUACGGAGCAUGAGUUAGUGGACGUAGUGUGGCGUUGUGAUGAGAAUGAGAGUAUAGGUUGAAGCUACGGGGAGCCGUAGUAUUCACUAGUCAGAGGGUGUUAUGAUGCUACGAGGAGCCGUAGUACUCACAAGUCAGAGAGAGAGAGAGUCGUGAUACUACGGGGAUCCGUAGUAUUCACUAGUCAGAGGGUGUUGUGAUGCUACGGGGAGCCGUAGUACUCACAAGUCAGAGAGAGAGAGAGUCGUGAUACUACGGGGAUCCGUAGUAUUCACUAGUCAGAGGGUGUUGUGAUGCUACGGGGAGCCGUAGUACUCACAAGUCAGAGAGAGGGAGUCGUGGUAUUACGGGGAGCCGUAGUACUCACUAGUCAGAGGCUGUUGUGAUAUUGCGGGGAGCCAUAGUACUCACUAGACGACAAAAGAGUGUUCUCCGAUCAGUGUAUGAUGCAGAAGAGUUUUAGGCUUGAUGUAGCACCUGGUUCCCGGUAUGUAUUUCUUGUAAUUUAAAAUUCUAAUUCUUGCAUUUUUGCCUUGGACUCAGCGAGUUGAAGGACCGACUCGCCGAGUAGGAGCGGGAUGAGACGCGGGGUCUGAGCCUUGGACUCGGCGAGUCGGUUUCCUGACUCGGCGAGUAGGCCCUGUUUGGGCAAAAACUCUAACCCGAGUAUUGUCACCUUAUUUAAGCACAUUAACUCGGCCCCUUGUCCUUAACACUUCCAGAGAGCUGUAGUGAGAGUCCCUAGUCCCCCAUAUUGUGCUUGUGAGUGAGUUCUUGCUUGGUGAAGGGACUUGAAGCUUAGAAGAAGAAAAGAAGAGAUUGAAGAGUGCAAAAGAGGGAGUAGAUCCGAAAUCUACAUUGGGAGAAGCUUCCAUUCAGGUAGUAAAGUUUCUACCUUGAUCUUUAGUUCAUUAGAUCCCAUUUUGUCCCAAUUUGGUGGUUUUCAAGCCCUAAAACACCAAACUCCAUGUGUUUGUGCUUAAUGAUCUGAAAGGACUUCAGAUCUAGACCUGAUGGACGUGUUAGAAGCAUAAAGUUGAUGUGGUUGAAGUGAUUGAGGACCCCAUUGUGUGCAUGACCUCUUAAAGAGCUUGGAAUUGCAUUUUUGAGCUUAUAGGGCCAUGCAUGCACGUAAAGUUUGCAACUUUACGUGUUAAGCAUGCCCUAGGAGCAUAGAUCUGUGGUCUUGAAGCGUUGCAUGUCUCAGAUUUGGCUUAUAUGGAAAAUGGGUCAAGGGACUCGGCAAGUCCCAUAGUGGAACUCGGCGAGUUCUAUGAAGAUGGCCUUAGACUUGGCGAGUUGGAAGAACAACUUGGCGAGUCCUAUGAAGAUUGCCUGGUACUCGACAAGUUGUUCUUCAAACUCGGCGAGUCGUAUGAACUGUUACAGAGUACGAGGGGUUUAAGUGAUGGAAGUCCAACCCCUUCGUGUUUGUAUGUAGAAUUAGCAAUCUAGCGUGUUACAAUAGUCCCAAAAACCCAAAUCCUCAUGAAGGAUGCUUGGAUGAGGAUCUGGAAGUGAGUGGGAGGUCUGCUCGCAUGGACUCAGCGAGUUGUUCUUGGACUUGGCGAGUCGGAUCGCGAGCCGGUACUAUCGUCCCGAGUAGUGAGUUAAGGGCGACUCAGUGAGUGGGAAAAAGGGACUUGUAGAGUGGGACCGGGUUAGUGGGAGAAGGACUCGGCGAGUCGGUGCCAUGACUCGGCGAGUCCAGUCAACUGGAAGUUGACCUUGGACCAAGGGAGGGUCAGUCAUCUGACCUAAGGGUGUGUAUGAGAGGCUAAUCUAUGUUUAUGAUUUAUAGCCGGAGGAUUUCCGAUUCAGCAGUCAGGCGCUUAGCAAACAGACUUCAUCAGCUACUUUCNAGUUCCCUCCCAGUAGCGGUGGGUCUACGGCCACAAUGUCGGCCCACCAGUAGGAGUUGUAUGUUAGAUGAUUGUCUUUGUGAUAUUCAUCUAGGGUUGCUACUACCUGUGAUAUGCUUAUGUGCUAGUAUGAUAUGAUGCUAUGUGCUAGUGCCAGUAGGGGAGAUAGCCCCCAAAAUACUGGUCGAUAGGGCCGAAGGGGCGGUCAUGCCCAGCCAUGCUAGAUGGAUUAUGUGAUAUGUGAUAUGUGGUAGUAGUAGGGGUGAAAUAGUCCCCAACAUCCAGUCGAGAAGGCCGAAGGGGAGACCAACACCCAGAUAUGCUAGUCAGUAUCCGGUCGAGAGGACCGAAGGGGAGGCCAGCACCCAGAUAUGCUAGCCAGUAUCCGAUCGAGAGGACCGAAGGGGUAGGCCGGGCACCCGGAUAUGCCUGACAAUAUAUGUAUGUUAUGUGGUUAUAUGGUAUGUGGUACAGUGGGGGAACUCACUAAGCUUCGUGCUUAUAGUUUUCAGUUGUUGUUUCAGGUACCUCUUCUGUUAAGGGGAAGGAGCUGGCGCGGUAGCGGCACAUCACACACACGCUCUUUUGUUUUCCGCACCAUGAGUCGUUCUGGGAUUUUGUACUCUGACAUUAUCAUGUUUUAUGUUUUGGUUUAUGGCCACGAGACAUGUUUUAUUAAAUGUUAUGAUCGUAUGAUAUUUUGUUACAAACGCUUCUACAAAUCACUUAAUUAAAAAUGAAAAUUUUGGCCCGUAUUUUUGGGAUGUUACACUUGAGUAGCCCUAGUAUUGAGUUUUUGGGGCCUGGUGGUUGAACCAGGGGCGAGACUGGGGUCUCCGUCUCUGUCGCGAAUCAUUAUAUUUUGUUUUGAGUUGUGAUUGUCGCAACAGGAGGGAAUUGGGAUGGUGGUCACGGGAGGAAGUUGGUGGAGGGACUCGGCGAGUUGGUGCUUAGACUCGCCGAGUAGGGUCGCGGAUUCUCAUCUGGGUUCAUGGCUGGACUCGGCGAGUCCACGCUGUUUAAUGAAACCCUAAUUCCCGGGGAUUAAGACCUAUUUAAAGGCCCUUAUGGCCUUCAAUUGUGGCUACCAGUUGAUAGAGAGGAACCCCAGAGUGUGUGAUCGAUUUGAGAGACAAAGGAAGCCAUUGUUGAUAUUUGUGUGAGUGUUUUUGCAUGAAGAAGGUGACCAAGGCAAGGGGGAGCUGAAGAGGGUGCGAUUUUGUGAAGUUCAGAGCCAGAGACAUCAUUCUUGAGGUAUUGAUUCAACCCUUCUUCAGUUUUGGUGAUUUUCUUUGGAGUUAGGGUUUUCUAAACCCUUUAGAGACUAGAUUUGGUGAGCAUUUGGUCCCUUCUUGUGUUAGGGAUUUGGAUCUGGAUACAAAGAGGUCCAGAGACCUUAACCCUUUGAGCCUUAUGUGUGUAUAUGGAAGAAAUGAGACUAGGAUGUCAUAUUAGAGGGCAUUUCUUCAAAUAGAGUUCUUGAGCCUUUGCAUGAGCACCAAGAUCGGAGCUUUACGUGAUUAUCAUGCUUGGGAAGGUCAGAUCUAUGAGUUAGAGGGACGGAUCUGACCUCAGGAGGUCUCUUGAGCUUGAGCAUGGCAUAGACUCGCCUAGUACCAAGAGCAGACUCGACGAGUAGGGUUAGGGUUUCCCCAUAGUUCACUCAGUGAGUUCUUGCCGAGUUGGGGGAAUGACUCGGUGAGUCAGAGGGAAUUAGAGGACUGGAGUUCAAGGCGGAACUCGCCGAGUUCAUAUUGGGACACGGCGAGUUGAGUUGGGGUGGCCCCGCGAUUCAUGUCAGGUGUAACCCGUUGAGCAGGGGAAAGACUCGAUGUGUCAUGCGAGACUAGAGGGUUAGUGGACACGCGUAGACUCGCCGAGUCACCCAAGUGCACUCGGUGAGUCGGGUCAAAGUCUGACCGUUGACUUUUGUUGACUAUUAGGGUUUGGUCAACAAUGGGGCCUUUGAGUCAAGAGAGGGGUAAAAUGGUCUUUUACCCUUCUGAAGGUGCCAAGGGAGGGUUGAGUCUAGCCUCGAGAGUUAUAUUUAUGAGAGUAUUUACUUUAUGUGAUUAGGCGGAGGCUAGAUCGUAUUUCCACCAAGUCAGAGAUUUACCGAGACAUCUGAGGUGAGUCUUCUCACUAUACUUUACCUAGAGUGGUAACAGAGUUAUUGUAUGUUAUCUAUGUGAUGUGUGACACUGCAUUAUUGCUAUGUGAUUUAUGUUGUGUGUAUAUCAGAGUUAGAGCCGGAAGGUCCACAGAGCUAGGACCAGAGGGUCCACAGAGUAGGGCCCAAGGGCCCAUAGAGUUAUAGCCUCGAGUGGCUAAUAUGUGUUAUAUGUGAUAUUCUUAGUGUUAUGUGCCAGUGUAUUUGUAUGCUAUUUAUGUGUUGAGAUUUAUUGUGAUAUGUGAUAUGCAUGAUUCAGAGUUAUCAGAGUUAGUACCUUUGGGUCCAUAGAGUUAGGGCCAGAGGGUCCACAGAGAGCUGGGACUGGAGGGUUCCACUGAGACAUACUGACCAGAGGGUCAACCGAGUUAUAGCCUUGAGUGGCUAAUAUGUGUUAGAGUGGUAUUUUGGGGAACUCACUAAGUUUCGUGCUUAUAGUGUUUUGUGUUAUAUGUUUCAGGUUUUCUCAGGAUCACGGGACGGCACCGGCUCGAUUAUACACACCAGAGGAAGCGUUUGUUUUGAGGAUCCUGGUUUAUUAAUUAAUUGAACGAAAGAGUCAUGUAUUGUAAUUUAAACAAAAAGAAGAUUUUUAUGAAAGGUGUUAAUAAGAUUAACGAUUUUAAAUGAAAAAAAUUGUUUUGAAAAUUUCGGCGUUACAUUAUUGCGAUGAUAUCUAUAGCGACGGAAAAAACUAUCUAUUGCGAUGGGGCUAUGGAGACGAGAGCUAUAGAGACGACAUGUCGUCCCAAACACCUAUUGGGACGACUUUUUU
rnacentral:lncRNA from 1 species